GUGGGGAAUUUUGGACAAUGGGCGCAAGCCUGAUCCAGCAAUGCCGCGUGCAGGAAGAAGGCCUUCGGGUUGUAAACUGCUUUUGUACGGAACGAAACGGUCCGGGUUAAUACCCUGGGCUAAUGACGGUACCGUAAGAAUAAGCACCGGCUAACUACGUGCCAGCAGCCGCGGUAAUACGUAGGGUGCAAGCGUUAAUCGGAAUUACUGGGCGUAAAGCGUGCGCAGGCGGUUUUGUAAGACAGGCGUGAACUCCCCGGGCUCAACCUGGGAAUUGCGCUUGUGACUGCAAGGCUGGAGUGCGGCAGAGGGGGAUGGAAUUCCGCGUGUAGCAGUGAAAUGCGUAGAUAUGCGGAGGAACACCGAUGGCGAAGGCAAUCCCCUGGGCCUGCACUGACGCUCAUGCACGAAAGCGUGGGGAGCAAACAGGAUUAGAAACCCUAGUAGUCC
rnacentral:rRNA from 1 species